rnacentral:rRNA from 1 species
UACGUAGGGGGCAAGCGUUGCCCGGAUUUACUGGGCGUAAAGAGCGUGUAGGCGGCCAAACAGGUCCGUUGUGAAAACUGGAGGCUCAACCUCCAGACGUCGACGGAAACCGUGUGGCUAGAGUCCGGAAGAGGAGAGUGGAAUUCCUGGUGUAGCGGUGAAAUGCGCAGAUAUCAGGAAGAACACCAAUGGCGAAGGCAGCUCUCUGGGACGGUACUGGCGCUGAGACGCGAAAGCGUGGGGAGCGAACAGG